GCUGGGCGUGGUGGCGCAUGCUUGUAAUCCCAGCUACUCGGGAGGCUGAGGCAGGAGAAUUGCUUGAACCUGGGAGGCGGAGGUUGCGGUGAGCCAAGAUCAGGCCACUGCGCUCCAGCCUGGGUGACAGAGCGAGACUCUGUCUCAA
rnacentral:SRP_RNA from 1 species